UACGUAGGUGGCGAGCGUUGUCCGGAUUUACUGGGCGUAAAGGGAGCGUAGGCGGACUUUUAAGUGAGAUGUGAAAUACCCGGGCUCAACUUGGGUGCUGCAUUUCAAACUGGAAGUCUAGAGUGCAGGAGAGGAGAAUGGAAUUCCUAGUGUAGCGGUGAAAUGCGUAGAGAUUAGGAAGAACACCAGUGGCGAAGGCGAUCCUCUGGACUGUAACUGACGCUGAGGCUCGAAAGCGUGGGGAGCAAACAGGAUUAGAUACCCCCGUAGU
rnacentral:rRNA from 1 species